GUGAGUAUAGUUUAUUAAAAUACUAGAUUGUGACUCUAGAGACAGAAAUUUAACCUUCUUACACACC
rnacentral:tRNA from 1 species